rnacentral:rRNA from 1 species
AGUGAACGCUGGCGGUAGGCCUAGCACAUGCAAGUCGAACGGCAGCACAGUAAGAGCUUGCUCUUACGGGUGGCGAGUGGCGGACGGGUGAGGAAUACAUCGGAAUCUACUUUUUCGUGGGGGAUAACGUAGGGAAACUUACGCUAAUACCGCAUACGACCUACGGGUGAAAGCAGGGGAUCUUCGGACCUUGCGCGAUUGAAUGAGCCGAUGUCGGAUUAGCUAGUUGGCGGGGUAAAGGCCCACCAAGGCGACGAUCCGUAGCUGGUCUGAGAGGAUGAUCAGCCACACUGGAACUGAGACACGGUCCAGACUCCUACGGGAGGCAGCAGUGGGGAAUAUUGGACAAUGGGCGCAAGCCUGAUCCAGCCAUACCGCGUGGGUGAAGAAGGCCUUCGGGUUGUAAAGCCCUUUUGUUGGGAAAGAAAAGCGGCAGGUUAAUACCCCGCUGUUCUGACGGUACCCAAAGAAUAAGCACCGGCUAACUUCGUG